rnacentral:rRNA from 1 species
AACAAACGCUGGCGGCGUGCUUAACACAUGCAAGUCGAGCGAGAAAGUUUCCUUCGGGAAGCGAGUAAAGCGGCGAAAGGGUGAGUAACACGUGGGUAACCUGCCCCUUGGACUGGGAUAACCCGCCGAAAGGCGAGCUAAUACCGGAUAAGACCACGUGGACAAAUGUCCGAGCGGUAAAAGAUGGCCUCUCACUGAAGCUAUCACUAAGGGAUGGGCCCGCGGCCUAUUAGCUUGUUGGUAGGGUAAAGGCCUACCAAGGCAACGAUGGGUAGCCGGCUUGAGAGGGUGUACGGCCACACUGGAACUGAGAAACGGUCCAGACUCCUACGGGAGGCAGCAGUGGGGAAUUUUGCGCAAUGGGGGAAACCCUGACGCAGCAACGCCGCGUGAGUGAUGAAGGCCUUCGGGUCGUAAAGCUCUUUUAGUGGGGAAGAAAUUCAGCGGUAUUAAUACUAUCAUUGAUUGACGGUACCCACAGAAAAAGUUCCGGCUAACUCCGUG